UGAGAAAAGUCUUGGUUUUCAGAAAUAUUUAGAUUUCGGAACUGUGCAUGAGAGACUGUGGGCCUGCAAGAGAAGCUGUUAAUUAAUCUCGAGAGACAGAAAUGUUUUCCCAGUUCAGAAAUCUAAUACCACGUGGACCUUAAGGAUAUUGCACAACAAAGCAGGCAGGUUCACCCGUGGACGUUUCUCAAGAAAUGCAUUGUUUCAGCAAACUCUGUUGAACGCCAGUGGAUGCAUCUGGCCUGCAGCUGGAGCGUGAGGUCGGGAGGGCAGGGCAUGGCAAUGGGCAAGAGAUGACCUCCACCCUUCAGGGAUGCAUCGUGGGGGGCUGAGUGCGACAUGGGGAAGUGAUCCUGGGAAGGCCCAGGAGGCUUUGCAUGGGGCAGGGCUGGGUGCAGGAUGUGUUUGGCUACAGGCGACAAAGACCCAGGCUCAAGCUGGAUGGAGCAGCUGGAAGCGGGCCGUCUCAUGGCAAGAAGUGGAGAGAGAGUCAAGGGCAGCAUAUGCCAGGCUCGGCCCUCCUCAGGGUGUGGCUUCCCUCUCAGCUGGUAAAUGACAUGACAUCCUGACACAGCAAAGUUCCGAGGAACAUACUAGACUGUUUCUUCCUGUAAGUCUACUUUAUCAGAGAGGAAACCUUUCCCAGGGUCUCCUGGCAGACUUUUGCUCACCUCUCAUCAGCAGGACAGGUCACCUACAGCCCCCCUGCAAGGGGGUGAGGGUAGAAUGGCUGACCACGACGCAUCAGGACUGAUCCUCAGGUCACAGGCUGGGGCAGACGCUCUUGGUUUGUUCAAGACCAUGGGGGAUUUUUUUGGAGUUGUUGUGCAGCAUAAAGAGACUACCCCCAACGCACGACCACGACUUGCAGCUCAAGACCACGCCACCCACCCUGAAGUCCCUCCGCAGUAGACAGAACUGUUCCUGUAGUGACGGGCGGUCACUCGCUAGCACUGGUGUCUGUGAAAGGCAUAGGGACACCAGGUCAGACCAUAAGGGAGUCUCAGACUUUUCUCCAAACCCGCCCCCAACAACCGAGAGUGAAUAAGACACAAGAGAGCAUUCUACAAAGCCGCCUGAACUACACGUGGUUUUACCUAGCACCUCACGUUGAUUCCCUGCUGUUCAUAAUACUACUGUUUGUUAUUUUUUUUUAAAGAUUUUUUUAAAAAUUUUUUUUCCUUUUUCUCCCCAAAGCCCCCCAGUACAUAGUUGUAUAUUCUUCGUUGUGAGUCCUUCUAGUUGUGGCAUGUGGGACGCUGCCUCAGCAUGGUUUGAUGAGCAGUGCCAUGUCCACACCCAGGAUUCAAACCAACGAAAUACUGGGCCACCUGCAGCGGAGUGCGCGAACUUGACCACUCAGCCACAGGGCCAGCCCCUACUACUGUUUGUUCUUAAAAGGUGCUUGAGAGUGGUCACUCUUGCCCGCUGAGUGUGGCUCACCCUCCCUGUCCGCCCCAGACUGUGGUUUGAGAACUAAGCUAUUGAGAACUAAGACAACCCCCAAGGUCAACCCCUCCUAAUUCCAGCGAGGUGGGGAGGGUGGGGCCCUGAAGAGAUGGGGGACAAGUGCAGAGGCCCUGACAAGGCUGAUGAGCGGGCUGUGGGGUGUCGGUGAGACAGCAGUGGGGAAGGGGGAACAGGGAGGCUGCUGCCUGGAGCCAGCCUGGCCAGCGCCCCAACCGGGCCCUGGCGGAGGGGGUGGGCACCACCUAAAAAACCUGGAGAGAAGCGCAGUCCGUGGCCCUUCCAGGCUCCUCGCCUCCAUGAGGCCCCCUAUAGCCUUCCCUACUCUUAUUCUCUGUGUUGAUCUACAAGGUCAGUCUCAAGAGGGGACAUGAGGCCUUGUGCGUCCCAGGCCCAUGUGGACAGAGGAGGGGCUGCGUGCUGGGCUGGGGUUGCCACAUCCAGAGGUCAGAGAUCAUUUGCUCCCUUUCGCAGCAGGGUCAGGCCUGGGAGGUGCUGAGCACCACCAUCAUAGCCCAACCCCCAUAGCUAUCCAUGUUCCACGGGAGUUUGGCUUCAUGCCACGGGGCAAGGCCAGUGGUCUGGGUGGUGUUUCCUAGGGAGAUGGGAAUGGUAGAAUUACUUUUCAAAGCUGAAAGGGCUGGGGGUGGUGUUGCCGGGGGGUGGGGCAAGCUUCUUGGAAAGCGGGUGGAUAGCACCAGGCAGGGACUCACACCUGGGUUCAUACAGAUGGCCCCUGUGGGCAGCAUGGCUGGGUAGCCACCUCCCAAAAGGAAAUGCAAUCUGCCUUCUUCCUCUUCUCUAGUCAAUAUUUAUUUAUCCAGAAGAAGCUUUGGUGACAGAAGUUCAGAGCUGCGCGUAGCUGUCUCUAAUGAGGGCAAUAGGGAAUAGAAGUGGGACGAAGCCAUCCCUCUGGGCCUGCCUUGGGAGGCUAACAGCCUUUGUGUCUGCAGAGUCCCAUGCCUGUUCUAAAGUAUGCUCUCGUCUUUUCUCUCAGUCUCUCCUUCCGGUGCCAUGGUGGAGAGGUGUCCCCAGUCAGAUCCUCAUUUUACAGAUGGGGAGACUGAGGCCCAGGACACUGCUGUGCCACACGCACACCCAGGGUUACAGAGGUGCUGCCUGGAGGCAACCCUGCCGGGAGCCUGCAGCCUCUUCCUGUGUUCUGGGCACUGCCCACUUUCUGAAAAUUACAACUGCCAGUUGUUGCCAUGGUGACUGAUUGUAUUAUUCCAUCACUGCAGAGCUGUGUGUGCCACCUCGUCCCAAGACAGUCUGUCUCUGCAGGAGACAAUCUCUACCUCCAGAUGAAGAAACCAAGGCUCAGAGAAAUUUGGAAAUUUGCCAAAUCACCAUCCAGGCUGGUGUGCCGUGGAUUGGAAGGGCACCUGAGUGUGUUGGUCUGGGGCUCAGGCCCUUCCCUUUGGCCAUGCAGGCCCAGGAGACCAUGGAUGGGCCCUCCUCCCACCAGCCAGUCUUGCCCUGGAACUGGCUGUCCCACCCUGGGGCCUCGGCACUCGCAGUCCCUCUGCCUACUAGGCUGUCUACCCCAUACGCUGUUCCCAGCCAGCUCAGCCUAAGCCUGCUCAGAGGGGCCUCUCCUAGCUGCCUGGUCUAGUUCUUCCCUGCUGGUUGCACAAUUUGAGGUGAUGUCCUCCUGCCUCUGCUUCUUUUCUCUGGGCCUGUCACCUCCUGCUGAACAGAGGAGUCCUCGAGAGCCAGGGUGUUUUCCACAGUUUUCCGAUGGGGAAGCAGGCUCAGAGAGGUUCUCUAGUCAGCCCAGCGUGGCACAGCAGAGCCAAGGUUUG
rnacentral:lncRNA from 1 species